GUGUCAGCCGCCGCGGUAAUACGUAGGGUGCGAGCGUUAAUCGGAAUUACUGGGCGUAAAGCGUGCGCAGGCGGUUGGUUAAGUCUGAUGUGAAAGCCCCGGGCUCAACCUGGGAAUGGCAUUGGAAACUGGUCAGCUGGAGUGUGGCAGAGGGGGGUGGAAUUCCGCGUGUAGCAGUGAAAUGCGUAGAGAUGCGGAGGAACACCGAUGGCGAAGGCAGCCCCCUGGGCCAACACUGACGCUCAGGCACGAAAGCGUGGGGAGCAAACAGGAUUAGAUACCCGAGUAGUCC
rnacentral:rRNA from 1 species